ncrna:Branchiostoma belcheri (Belcher's lancelet) microRNA bbe-mir-278 precursor
CCCACCCGGGCGAACACCGUCGCCAGUCGUCGGGCUUCAGCAGAUCGGUGGGGUUUUCGUUCGAGUGGG